GUAUUGUUUGAAUAGAGAGAAGGCUCAUAUUCCCAUAGAGGAGGAUGGAAGGGCCCUUGGGUCUAAUGGGAUGCAUAUGGUUAAGGUAGUAUGAUCUACUUUGUGAUAGCUAACCACUGUUUUUU
ensembl:snRNA predicted gene, 25338